ensembl:lncRNA novel transcript, antisense to LIPI
UUCCGGAAUCUGGCGCGGCCUUUGUCUCACUUCAGCCAGAGAGCGGGGUUAGGGCUUCAUUGCCUUGUGUCCUCUGCUCCGGGAGACUUCGGUGAUUCUGCCACUCCCUCCGUCGCUCUGUGACCUGCUGGCAUUGAAUGAUUUAUAGCUAAGACUCCAGGACACCCCUGAAGCCGAGAAAUGAAAUCCCAAGUUGACCGUCAAGUCCAACGCUCGCUGCAGACAUCUAGUGGACCCGGCGCUCGCGGACGGAAGCGGACAGACCUAGUUGGAUCCUUAUCCCACCAAUCUGGCCCACCUUUGCUGCCAUCUAACUCCGCUGACCGGCCCACCGUUCCUCCACUGUUCGCUGGUUGACCCGGGCAGCGGAGAGAGGAGGUGCUUCUCUUCUGUCCCACGGCAGGCGGCACCAACAGAAGGCUUCUGCAAAGCUGAGAGCUCCUUUUACCCAUGGAUCAGGAGCAGAGUUUGCAGCUACACUGUCAGGCUGUGUUUGGAUGUUAGCAGUUAGUUUAGCUUUGCGUCUUCAGAGCAAUUGUUCUUAGCUACUUAAAAAAAGAAAAGAAAAGAAAGGAAAA